rnacentral:tRNA from 1 species
GGGAGUGUAGCUCAGUAGCAGAGUGCUUGCCUCACAUGCAUGAGGCUCUGGGUUCCAUCCCUAGUACUGCAA